GGUUACAUCUCAUGAAGGGCUCAUCCCAUUUUUACGAAAUCUGGAGGGUACCAUCUACGGCCACUCAUGAGACCACGCCUACAAUGGUGUACUGAUUCGUUUGGAUCAAGGGGAUAAUGAGGCUCCGCACACUGUGUUUCAUCCCCUUUGGAAUGAGAGCAAUGUGAGCAAAGCUAAAGGAACUCAUCUCAAGGCCCAGCCGACCCUCCCACCCCCCUUUUCUUUGUUUUAUAAAGCCAGCUGGAGCCACCAACACACCCUGACAGCAAAGAGAAGAAGAAGAAGAAGAAUGAGAGCCCUGGAGAGGGAUCUUGCCCACUCAGGUUUUCAUGCUUUGUGUCCCUACAGGCCAGGCUUCUCCCCUCUCAGCUUGUUUUGGCCUCCUCUCAGCUGACUCUCUGCCUAGGAAAAUGUCCCAGUGUAUUCAUUGAGGAAAGGACUGGAUGAUAAGAGAAAGGCAGAGAACUCCACAAGUCGGAGUUUAGAUGUACCGAUGGAGCGUCCCUGCCAUGCUGGUGCUGUGGGAGCUGGAGCUGCUGUGGGCUCGUAACCUGCAAUUAACACCAAAAAAUAAAUUUAAAGAUUCGUCCU